GCUCUGACGUUUGCUUGUGCCGAAGUGGCAAAUACGUUAGUUCGGUGGAAAACGGUAUAUAUCAGCACUUCUUUAUAAUAUCCUAAAAUUAUUUCUAGACAUAUUGUGCAUUUUUGAGCGGCACAGGAGACUAAGUGGUCUGAAAAAGGACCACUGGGUGGCGGAAUGGUUCGCUGGCCGGAAAAAUAGCCAGGCAAACCCAGAAGCAAGACGGAGCGUCCCGGUGGUCUGUCCUCUGAAGUAAGUAGGAGCUAAACCUGCAGGCUUUGCCCUCCGAUUAUAAUGAGACAUGGAGUAAUUAUAAAUGAUUUCAGAUUACGUUUUAUAUGUCUGGUAUUUUGAUAUUCUGCCCUCCUCAUAUGUUUCUGUUAGCGGGAGCUAAAGUUUAUGUCAGCUAUGCUACGUUAGCUGUUGGGAGCUAAGCUUUAUGUCAGCUAUGCUACGUUAGCUGUUGGGAGCUGAGUCCGUGUAUUUUUAUUGUCUCACUCUUCACAGUUUGAUAGUCUGUCUUCAGUCUUAACUUUAACCCAGGUUGAUCUGGUUUUAUGAUGCCGAAGUCGGCAAGCAUCUUCAGGAGAUUAUGGCAGUUAUGGAUGUUGGUCACUAUCACUGAAACUGUAUUUUGUUGCUUCAGCAGUAAUGAAGGUAGAUCUGAACCUGCAGGAACAUCAUCUGCUGCUAGACUUUAUUCACCAUAACAAACUGAAAGACAAUCUGCAGCAGCUGAGAUUCUGGGAGGUUCAACACCAAAACCUGAAGCUUCAAACUGAGCCGUCAACUGAACCAAGAUGCCUUUCAA